rnacentral:rRNA from 1 species
AUUGAACGCUGGCGGCAUGCUUUACACAUGCAAGUCGAACGGCAGCGCGGGCUUCGGCCUGGCGGCGAGUGGCGAACGGGUGAGUAAUACAUCGGAACGUGCCCAGUAGUGGGGGAUAGCUCGGCGAAAGCCGGAUUAAUACCGCAUACGACCGGAGGGUGAAAGCGGGGGAUCUUCGGACCUCGCGCUAUUGGAGCGGCCGAUGGCAGAUUAGCUAGUUGGUGGGGUAAAGGCCUACCAAGGCGACGAUCUGUAGCUGGUCUGAGAGGACGACCAGCCACACUGGGACUGAGACACGGCCCAGACUCCUACGGGAGGCAGCAGUGGGGAAUUUUGGACAAAGGGCGAAAGCCUGAUCCAGCAAUGCCGCGUGUGUGAUGAAGGCCUUCGGGUUGUAAAGCACUUUUGGCGGGAACGAAAAGGACUGUGCCAAUACCACGGUUCGAUGACGGUACCCGCAGAAUAAGCACCGGCUAACUACGUG